rnacentral:lncRNA from 1 species
GAUUUUUGUCUCUUCAGUAUAGUGAAACUAUCCAGGAGCCUGCUCUGUGUUUGAAAGACUUUCUUCUUAGAUUUUUAUCCUCUUUCUCUGAAGAACUCCAGAAAUCAGUAAAUACCUAUCAUACUCAGUGGAACCAACACUGAAGAUCUCAGUUUGAAGCACUGGAGCAGGUUGUUCUGAAAGGUCACCAGGAAGCUGAAGAAAUUCUCAGUUAUAGUAAAUGCCUUGAGUAGACAAAUGUAUGCAUACUUUAUUUGUCCACCAAAUUUUUGAAGGAGAGAGAAGACGAAAGAUGUGAAAACAAUUAUGUAACCUAUGAAAGACAGAGAAAGCGUCUCGCUCUGUCACUCCGGCUGAGCGCAGUGGUGUAAUCAUGGCUCGCUGCAGCCUUGAUCUCUUGGGCUCAGGCAAUGCUUUCACCUCUGCCUUCCGAGAAGCUGAGACCACAGGAGUGCUUUACUGCGCCCAGCUAAGUUCUUUGUUUGGUUGUUUCGUUUGUUGUUUUGUUUUGUUUUGAAGAGACAGGGUCUCCUUAUUUGGCCCAGCUGAUCUUAAACUCCUGGGCUAAAACGAUCUUUCUGCCUCAGACUCUCAAAGUGCAAGUGCUGAGAUAAUAUCUGUGAGCCACCACACCUGGCCUAAUUUUGUUAGUAUGUUUGCUUGUUUACUUAUUCACAAUAGCCUUAGCAAUGAUUAACGUUAUUUUUACUUUUCUCCUUGGUUUAUGGUAGGCCAAAGCUGGU